rnacentral:rRNA from 1 species
CCUUCUUUUUCCCUCUUUUUCCGGAUUUAUUGGGUUUAAAGGGUGCGUAGGCGGACUUAUAAGUCAGAGGUGAAAGCCGGUAGCUUAACUAUCGAAUUGCCUUUGAAACUGCAAGUCUUGAAUUUUGUUGAGGUAGGCGGAAUGUAUCAUGUAGCGGUGAAAUGCAUAGAUAUGAUACAGAACACCGAUUGCGAAGGCAGCUUACUAAGCAAAUAUUGACGCUGAGGCACGAAAGCGUGGGGAUCAAACAGGA